GGACGCUGUCCUAGAUGUCCCUGUGAGGGGCCUGCUACCCACCCAGAGCAGGGAGAGCUGCGCCCUGCAGGCCGCAGGGAGCCAGGCCUGUUCCCACUGUGCAGUCAGACGCACCGAGCUCCAGUCACUUCCGGCUCUGAGCUCCGCUUCCUCAUCUGUUUGGCGCGCAUAAAAUAAUGCGCGGGUCUCGGUUUCCAGUGUGCUAACAGGCUGGGGAGCCCGUACCCAGUAGGCCUGUCGCGAGUGGACGCCCGUGCUCGGAAGUGGCUCAGUGUGUCGUGGGAUCAUGCGAGAAAGGUAAGCCGAUUUCCUCACGGCUAGAAGCGCGUCUCCCCUCCCCUCCUCCCUUACUGCUUCCCUCGCCACAGCGCCCUGUGGGCCUGAAAGCCCGAGAGGCCCAGGCCAGGCCAAGCUGCACUGGGAGUUAAGCCCCGGGAACCAGGGCCCCACGCAUUCUGCCCCCACCCGGCCUGAUUUUCCCCGGGCGCGGCUCCUCCUUGUCUGGCCUUGUCUCCCUGGCUCCUGUCCUUGGCCAGUGGCCGGCCACACUUCACCUUCUAACAGCCGGCCCUGGGGCAGGGAAAUGAGAUCCAUUCCACAGCCCAGCCAGGGAUCCGGGGAAGGAGCGCCAGGGUCUCUGGACACCGACCCGCAGAGCAGCCCAGGGCAGGUGCUCUGUUCUCUGAAAGCUCCAACUGGGGACGCAGGUGCAGGUGCGUCUGCCUUGUUUGUGCAGGAAACCCUGGUGACAGCGCUGUGAAGUGAUGAUGUCCCUUGGCAGAACGCAGAGGAAGUAGAGUUACAAGACUUCUAAGCCUGGGUAUCAGAGACCCUGAGUUGACCUUGAGCUUUCAUCAGAGUCACACAAGUCCCCUGGCUGGCUUGCUGGAUGGUGAGCUGUGGCCUGGUCAGCUUUGUCACUGCAGCUGACGGCCAGUCCACCCCAUGUGAGAUGAUGUGAGAUCAGCCGACUCCAGCCUCGUGACUAAGCACAGCUGCAGAUCAACUCAGUCGGCCAAAGCAGCAGGACGUUUUGCUAAAUCACAGACUCAAUGUUAUGAUGGGAAUAUCAUAGUAUGUGAUUAUAAAUGAUAAUUUUUAAGUUACCAAUUUUGGGCUGGUUUGUUAUGCAGAAAUGUUCUGAAAGCAAGGCCGCUAACAUGCAGUAGCGUGGUACAAAGAUCACAGAUCAUUGUACUGAAUAGUGGUUCUCAAAGUGUGUUUCCAAGACCACGAGGAACCCUCUAGAAAUACAAGCCUUGGGGUGAUGCCUCAGUCCACUGAAUCAGAAACCCAGAACAGGGCCCAGCGGCCAAUUCUGAGGCACACAAGUCAAGUCUCUUUACUGUCCCCCUGGAAAUUCUUCAGGAAGUGCUUAAUGAUUGGCGAAUUUGGAAACACUAAUUUAAACAUUCAGGGCCGGGGCUUUUGGAAGGUGGUUGAAUUAUGGAGGUUUACAUUGUAGCUGACUUGCUCCUAGGAGGUGAGGUCAGUUUGGAAGAGGCGGGGACUGGGGGCGUGGCCUGGAAGGGUGUAUCUCCCCAGUAGCUCCCUUCUCUCUGCUUCCUGUCUCCAUGCGGUCAGCAGCUUCUCCUCCGCCAUGCAGUCCUUCCUUUGAGCCUGCCAACUAUGGACUGAAACCUCUAAAGCUGUGAGCCAAAAUAAACCUCUCUUCCUUUAAGCUGUGGUGUCAGGUAUUGUGAAUCAGGAAAGAGAAAGUGACUGACAUGGCAUCCAAUUAAGUACAAGCAUUUAUGAAGAAUGGGGAUUUCCGACAGCAAUGUGGAAGGCAAAUGAUUCUAUUUAAUUUGGUGCUGCCUAUUUUGUUUUGGGUCUCAGAAACUAAGAAUUGGUCUCAACAUGUGCAAUAACAGUGUUUAAAAAUAAAAAAAAUUAAAAAUCCCCAGUUUUGAGAAGCUGGACUUAUCAAGAUGGAGCCCCCUGUUACCGCUGAAUGCUUCUUCCCAGAGCCUCACCCUGGUUGCCACGUUGCCACCACCCUGUCCCUGCCACGUGCUGCUCCCUAUGUGUGGAUGCUUCAUACCUUCCUCGUGUUACCUGACCAUGCCGACCAUGGGUUUCUGUUUUUAAGUUUAUCUUCAGUGGUUUUCAGAGGAGGACCAUUUGUUCACUUUCAAGUGAAUCAAAAAUAGUCACAGAAAUCACUCUGUCUUAAGUUUGAAUUUCUCUUCUAACUUUACCAAGAAUAAAUAUUUUUAAAAAGCUACUUUCAAAAAUUUUUGAGAGAUCCUCAUUUGAUUGGAUUGGGGCUGGGUGGAACUUUGGGAAAACAUCCCAUCUCAUUUGCCGACUUUAAUGGGAGAUGCUGGUCCAGGCUGGGAGUUUUAUCUUCUGAUCGAUUGCUAAGCACGCAGACUUUACCAUACUUCUCAGGAUUCUUAAUGAGUGCAUUAUCCUCCUCUAGCAGGCUCUUUUGUAGGCUGAUAUGAAAACACUCUGUAAUUUAAACCAAUUCCUUUUAAAAAAAAUCACUACAGACAUGAAAGGCAGUUGAUUGGCAUUCA
rnacentral:lncRNA from 1 species